AAGUAAUCAUUCUCCCAGUCAAUCUCCUGUCCUCAAAGCAGUCAGAUUUUUAGGGCAUUGUCAUUAUUAUCACUGGAUAGUUGUCUUUAUAAAAGAAUGGAGACUGCAGCUGGUGUGGCUCACUUUUCUGUUAUUUACUGUUGACUUGAUAGCCAUGUAAGGAUCCCCUGCCUUACUAAACCUAUAGCUACUUAUAUGCAUGGCCUGCUAGGAAUUAUUUUAAGUAGGCCCUCUUCUACAAAGAGGCAUAUUAUACUCAGUCACAAGACACUACAAAGCCCAUUCUGGGUAGGCAGCCAUGACUCCCGUUGAGUCUUCCAGGACUGAAGAAGGACUGCAGAUCUUUAAUACCAUGACUGAAAUGUUUUAUCUGUAACCUAAGCUGCAGCAACGAAAGACAUCAUCAGAGGGCAUUAUCAAAGCCAAAGGGGGAGCAACGUUUUUGGCAGGGAGAAGUCAGGUGUCUGAGUAUCUGAGAGAUGAGCAGAUCUUCAACAAAUUUGGGAAGCAGCUGAAGAAAGGAUGUCCACCAGUAGUUAGUGGAUGUGAAGAUAACUUCAUUUCCUGCCCAGUAAGCAAAGAAAGAAAAAGUCUACUCUGUGGGCUGAAUUUUGUUCUGUAUAUUAACAUCUGUCGGAUGACUGCUGGAAUAAGAACACUUCAGCUUCAUGGCUUUUUUCCACACUAACAGCUGGCCUGGCAGACUCUUGAGAGCACAUGGCAGAGGGAAGAGAACUGUGCUACCUUAGGGAACCUGAGGUUUUGUUCCACUUUCGUAAAGAAAAAUAAUUAACAUAACAUACUGCAAAGUAAAGGAGGAAAAUCCAUCUGGAGGUUUGGGUGAGAAACCACUUGAAAUUAAUUCUCAAGUUUCUUAAUGUCUUCAAAAACUUUUGGUCAGAUUAUUACCUUAUAUUACUUGGCUGCUUACCUGUUAUUCUUUAGGUGGCUGGGGUUAAGAUGUGGUAGAGAUUUGCUAGAAUGGCUUGGGUCUACUCUGACCUAGAGACAGAAAAUCAUUAUGAAGAUAUAGAUUAUUUGGGUCCUUAAAAAAAACCUGGUGGCCUCUCAACUAAUUCAGCUUGUGGGCUGUUACCUAUGUUAUAAAAACCACCAGCUAUUUGGUUGACACUGCCAUGUGGGUUUUCCCUCUCCUUUAAGCUUAAUGCAGGAUUUGGAUUGAAUGUUAA
rnacentral:lncRNA from 1 species